GACGAACGCUGGCGGCGUGCUUAACACAUGCAAGUCGAACGGAAAGGUCCUGCUUUUGUGGGGUGCUCGAGUGGCGAACGGGUGAGUAACACGUGAGUAACCUGUCCUUGACUUUGGGAUAACUUCAGGAAACUGGGGCUAAUACCGGAUAGGAUCUCCUGCUGCAUGGUGGGGGUUGGAAAGUUUCGGCGGUUGGGGAUGGACUCGCGGCUUAUCAGCUUGUUGGUGGGGUAGUGGCUUACCAAGGCUUUGACGGGUAGCCGGGCUGAGAGGGUGACCGGCCACAUUGGGAUUGAGAUACGGCACAGCCCACUACGGGAGGCAGCAGUGCGGAAUAGUGCACAAUGGGAUGGAGCCUAAUGUAGCAAAGCCGUGUGGGGGAUGAGGGGAUUCGGGUUGUAAACCGCUUUCGCCUGUGACGAGGCGUGAGUGACGGUAAUGGGUAAAGAAGCACCGGCUAACUACGUG
rnacentral:rRNA from 1 species